UUUUUCCUACCCCUAUUCUUAUAUUUCUUUUUCAUGUGUUUGCUUCUUUAUUUGUUUUUGUUCUGUUUUUUAAAAAAGGAAAUUAGAUUCUGCUUGUGUGGUUGUGGAAACCACAUUAUAGCGUUUCCUCUACUUCCUACAUAUGCGCUUAUUGAGACCAUUUAAUAAGAAAGAUCCAAAGUAUGACUGCAACCUGUACCCCUGCAUAUAGGUCAGUCAGCCCUGGGAACUGGUGGGAAUGGAUUUAAUAGGGCCGCUACCAGCAACGAAGAAGGGAUACCAGUACAUACUGACAGCCACGGAUUAUCUUACAAGAUGGGUGGAUGCAUUUCCACUUCGAACUAAGUCAGCCUAUGAGGUAGCAAAGAAAAUAUACAGCAUUGUUAUUAAAUAUGGAUAUGUACAGAGGAUACUGACAGAUGGCGAUCCUGAAUUCAAUAAUGAGAGCAUUGCAGAAGUUGGUUGAUGACACUGGGAGUAACUGGGAUGAAUUUGUUGGUGAUAUUUUAUUUUCUUUGUGAUCUCAAGUGAAAAUGACCACCAAAAUGUCCCCCUUUCGACUACUGUAUGGCUUUGAAGCAAGAUUUCCAAUCCAAGUCUCGGAGGAUUAUACACCACCAAAUUUCGAGGAGCUCGAACAAUUCUACAAAGAGUACAGCAUAAAUUUGAAAUUGAGAAAGGAUGCUGACAUUGCACUGGCUCUUAGUAAUAUUGCCAAAGUACAAGAAAAACAACAAAACCAGCAUGCCAAAAGAAAGAGUUCUGAAUAAUGGGGAAAUAACAUUUGAGGUUGGGGACUGUGUUAUGUUACUGAAUACGAGAAGGAAAACAAGAAAGGGAGGGCUGCUGCAACCUACCUAUCGUGGCCCAUACAAAGUUACUGCUGUUGCGGGUAAAAGAGUUAAAUUGGAAACCACCUCGGGGAAACUGUUAGGGUCUAAGUACAGUAUCUCCCACUUAAAACCAUUUCAAGAGCCACCAACGUUAGGGGCUGAAAACAAAUCAGAGGCAAACACAGAAAUGGAAACUUCUGUGGAUGAGAUUGAAAAAACAGAGCCCUCGGAAGAGAUUGGGCAAAUGGGUGGCAAUAUAUCUCACGAGCCUCCUGAGAGCCGAGUGAUCAAGGUGGAGCUCACAGACGUGGCAGAAGAGGAGUGUGUAGUGGAAGAAGUUGCAUGCAGUGAUGUUGGUGAUAUGCUUGUGGAGGAUGGGGGAAGACAGAGAAUGGCUGCUCAAAGGUGGUCUGUGGGGCUGUGACUUCAACACCGGUACAUGCACUGGUUAGUCAGUUUUUAAAAGAAGACAGAGCACAUGGGGCUUACAGAAAAGAGUGGAAUCAUGCAAAGUGAUCUCUUAUUGCUUCCUUUCAACGCACCAAAGCACUGGGUUCUUGUGAUCACAUUAAUGGAAACAAAAGAAGUAUUAAUAAUUGACCCCUUGGGUGAUGAGACAAAAUAUGAAAGAACCUUCCUGAGGACUUGGAGUUUGCAGAAACGUAUUUACAGCAUAAAGACAUCAGUGCUGUAGAAACCACACAAGAGGCUCUCACUACGUGUAGAAGAAAAAUAGCAAUUCUUUUGAUGGAAGAGGCAGGUAAGAGCUUUGUUACAUAUUACCGAGUCAGCCCAUAGUAUAUGGGAAGAUAAUAGGAAAAGUGGAAUAAUGUCCUGUAACAAACCGUUACCUUAAUACAUCUACAGUGGGGUAUGUCACAAGUUUGGGUCUCGAAUGGUGACUCUGUAUGAAUAAUUUCUUCAAGUCGUGAAAAAUGUGGAGGGUUUGAGUGGUUACUACGGAUCGAGCAGUGAAAUGUAAUUGGAUAUGGUUCUACCCACCUGCAUUAAACUAAAAGUUUGAAACCCGUAGACUGGGGUACAAAAUAUCAUCUAAAAUAGGACACCCCCGGACCCAAAAAAAGAAAAAAAUGUUCGCAAACCAGUUUAAUUACUUGACAUAAUUGACAUUAAUCAAGAUUUGCGUUUAGAGGUUUGGUCACAAUGUAAUCACCCUUUGAGUACAGGGCAUUGAUUUUUCAGAGGGCGUGGAGGAGUACUGCGUGUACUGCAACUUGGUCACUUGCAAAAAAGAAAGUGAAGAUUGCAUGAUGGUCCAGUGUGACUCUUGUGAGAGGUGGGCACAUGUGCCCUGCCUGCCAGAGGAAAUCAAUGAAGAAAACGUAACGGAUGAGGAGACAAAGUACAGCUGCACAAAAUGUGCCUCGUUCAGUUGUUUAUAAAAAACGUACAUUGUGGCAUUGUUUUGUAAAGAGAAAUAUUUUGGUUUUCUUGGAAUAACACAGCUGGAAUAUAAACCAGGAAUAGAGAAGUUUAAUUUUAAUGUACAUCUCAGUUAAGAACAAAAAUUGUGUUGUUAACUCUGUAUCCGUAAAUAUGUUUAGAUGCCUGUUUUUGAAAAACUCUUGAAAUGAAAAGUAAGCUGUCCUUGUUUCUAUACCUUGCUACAAUAAUAAAGUCUUUUUACAUUUUGAAAAAUA